UACGUAGGGUGCAAGCGUUAAUCGGAAUUACUGGGCGUAAAGCGUGCGCAGGCGGUUUCGUAAGUCUGUCGUGAAAUCCCCGGGCUCAACCUGGGAACUGCAUUUGUGACUGCACAGCUGGAGUGCGGCAGAGGGGGAUGGAAUUCCGCGUGUAGCAGUGAAAUGCGUAGAUAUGCGGAGGAACACCGAUGGCGAAGGCAAUCCCCUGGGCCUGCACUGACGCUCAUGCACGAAAGCGUGGGGAGCAAACAGG
rnacentral:rRNA from 1 species